GAUGCUGAGUAAACGAUUAAUCGAGAAACAAAUGAGUCGGAAUUUCAUCCACGUAGUCUGUCCAGAUAGUUCAUGCUUGAGCUCAUCACAUUGCUUCGUCAAAUUGCCAACAUGCGAGUUCUUUUCUUUGAUAGCAUCAGUCAGGAGCAAGUUGUAGUAGCGUCGCUGAUUCCUUUUCUUCAUGCGGUUGAGGUUUUUCCAUCGCACGAACUUCGGAAAGACUUGAUUUUCUUUACAGUCAUAAAGAAACUUCAAAUCCAACUGUGCCUUAGCCAAUCUUCUCAAAGACCGUUGGUAUUUAAUUGCAACUUGGUGACUACGUGGAUGAAAUUCCGACUCAUUUGUUUCUCGAUUAAUCGUUUACUCAGCAUC